UACGAAGGGGGCUAGCGUUGCUCGGAAUCACUGGGCGUAAAGGGUGCGUAGGCGGGUCUUUUAAGUCAGGGGUGAAUCCUGGAGCUCAACUCCAGAACUGCCUUGAUACUGAAGAUCUUGAGUUCGGGAGAGGUGAGUGGAACUGCGAGUGUAGAGGUGAAAUUCGUAGAUAUUCGCAAGAACACCAGUGGCGAAGGCGGCUCACUGGCCCGAUACUGACGCUGAUGCACGAAAGCGUGGGGAGCAAACAGG
rnacentral:rRNA from 1 species